GUUUGUAUUCUACUUCAAAUCACCUAUAUUGUAAUUAUCCUCAUCAUCAAGAUAUGCCAUUAUUUAUAGGUGAGGCAGCAUACGAGUGGAGAGAAGCGGAAGAGGUGGGGAGACGUUCUCUGCGCAAUUAAUAAUGUGUUUCUCCCUCUGCAAAAGAAAAGAUUGUGGAGAGGAGUCCCAUAAAUGAGAGGAGUUAACUCCUCUCAUUUAGUGCAUGGAGAUGCGAAGAGAAUGAAGAGAAAAAGAAGUUUUCUCUCCUACAUCAUAAAUGCUAGAGUUUCUCUUCUCAUCUUUUCUUCCACUUUCACAUCGUAACUCCUCAAAUUAAUCUUUAUUAAUUGAGGAGUUGAUGAGAGAAUAAUUUUAGUGCAAGUGCACCGUAUGCAACAAUUGCAUUUAAC
rnacentral:lncRNA from 1 species